GAGCACGGCGAGCGCACAGCGCGGCGGCCGGUCCGCGCCCUUAACCCUUCGGUGCGCGCAGCCCGGGCUCGGAGGCCCCCGGGGAGACGGGCGCGUUUCCCCAAGACCGGCUCGGGAUCGAGGGCCGCGGGGCGGGAGGGGUGACCGGGGCCGGAGGGGACAGUGCUUCCAGGUUUGGGAAAGGGGCGGGGAGCUGAAGCGAUGAGGUAAUUUUAGCGGUGACCGGUAGGUCCUCGCGCGCCUUCCCGGGUCCCUGCAUCUAGUUGGAGGGGACAGAGCGACAGCGGGGUGCAACUCAGGGACCCUGGAGGACUCUCCGAGGGCUGUCGAGCUGCAAGUCGGAGACCAUGAAAUACCCCAAGUGGGAGAGGAGGUGGGCCAAUUCUGAUCCCGACGUUCCCUUCGUCCUGGGCGCGCCGACAAGCGACUAAGAGGGCUGACUCCGAUCUUCACGCGUGUUAACCCUCAAACCGGUUUAGCCUCAGCGUUCCGGAAGCCAGCCCACCGAGCCGCGGGGAUUGUCUUGGCGUGCAACUCAGGAAAGUUUUAAGGGUCCCCCUGUCUGCACGUGCACCCUCACCUUUCCUGCCUACGAAAGCUGGUGACCUCCCUGCUCUCCCUUCUCUUUCUGCAGGUCCGGAAAUCUGCUCUGGGUAUGGAACUACCCAGCUUUACCCUGGGUAGACGAUCCGCGCACUCCUUUCGCCGCUAAUUCGGGAUCAUUAAUUUCAUCGGAAAUGAGGCAACCAGUGUAGGAGAUAGAGAAAGCAAACCGAGCAUCAGAUGGCAGUUCUCGUGAAUCCGCGCCGGAGAACUUCCUCUGGACUCAAAUUUAAGUGCGGUUCUCAACUCCUCGGCACCCCGUCCCUCCGUGGGUACCAACGCCAGGCGUUAGCUGGAAGGGAAGGACUCUUCUUUGGAGGGGUGGUACCUGGCCAACAGGUGUGGCACCUGGAGGAAGAGAAGGCACAGCCAUGCUAAAGGGAGCUCAGUGCGGCGUUUUCCUGGCUGCAGAUAAUUCUGGAAGACCGGUAGGUGUCGGGGCAGCAUUUGACCUCUUUCAGGUGCUUAGAACCAAGUGUCUAGAAAUACGAUCCUUACAACGUAAGUUUUUCUCUGGAAGCCUCCACUUGACUGGAAGCUGUAUUUGAGAAACCUUUUGGCUGAAUUUACUUAUGACCUAACGGUUAGUCACCAACUGAAGCAGGAUACAGAAUCACCAACAGAAAUGUGUCAGCUUUUAAACAACUGUAUUAUAGCGCCAAGGUGCUGCAGAAAUAAAAAUCAGCACCCUAGCUAGGAAGGUGUAGAGCCCCGGAAAUCACUUUUUUCCUCACAUUUUGAAAUACCAUGCACAUAUACAUGGCUAUUUUUAAAGAACUACUACUACUGUUUACUCGUUUCUACAACUUUUUUUUUUCACUUAAAAAUCAAUGAUGGUUACAGUUUAAGCCCCAGGUUGGUCUAAAGUGACAUUGUUGGUCUCAUUACAGCCUCUAGUGGACAAUUAAAAUCGGUUUCCUGAAAAGGCUCUGCCUGACAAGCAUUAUCAAGGUGAAGGUUAAUAUCUCAGAAGGUAAACGGGUAGUAAUGUAUCUUUCCCCCCUUGGCAGUGCCGGUUUCUGAAAGGAGCAUAAGCUGCUAGCUCUGCACGAAAAAGACGUAUGCUUUUUGAGGCAGGUAUUAUUAUUACUGGCCUGUGAAUAAACAGAGAACUUCUGCUCUUCAUUUCAGUUUCAGACAGCUUUCAUAAAAAAAUUAAUUCAUCUAAAAUAUUUUUAUAACAGAAAAUAUUGGUUGCCAAGUUUUUGGCUUAACUGAGAUGUUUUCAUUCCAACUCCUAAUCUGCAGACUGUCCCAUCCACCUCCACUCUAUUUUUAGACAUCUUACAUUUAGAGAAUUUGGGGUUUAAAAAAAAAGCAAUAUUUUCAUUAUUACAUAUUUUAACAACCUUCAACACAUUAAAACACAUAACUCAGAUUCGAGUGAGUCAGUUAAUUUAAAUGUUCCCUCAAGGAAGCUGAAUACACUUAUUACCCAAACAGUAAGAACAAUUAAGAACUGUGUCAUUUACUUACUUAGCCAUUAAGGUUAAAGCCAGAAACUGCCAUUAAAAUUUGUAACUAUUUCUUCCUGCAAGGUCCAACAUAAACAUCAUACUUAUGAUACAGUUUCACUACCUUUAGUACUGAAAUGCUGUCGUUUCCAGUGGCAAAACUUUAAAUGUACAGUCACAAAUAACUGGCCUUGAUUCUUUAAAAACAAUACUUUCUCAUGC
ensembl:lncRNA